UGCCAGCCGCCGCGGUAAUACGGAGGGUGCAAGCGUUGUUCGGAAUUAUUGGGCGUAAAGCGCGUGUAGGCGGUUCGUUAAGUCUGAUGUGAAAGCCCGGGGCUCAACCCCGGAAGUGCAUUGGAAACUGGCGAACUUGAGUACGGGAGAGGAAAGUGGAAUUCCGAGUGUAGGGGUGAAAUCCGUAGAUAUUCGGAGGAACACCGGAGGCGAAGGCGGCCAUCUGGCUCGCAUCUGACGCUGAGACGCGAAAGCGUGGGGAGCAAACAGGAUUAGAUA
rnacentral:rRNA from 1 species